UAGUACAUUAAUAUUUAAAUAUUAAUGAUAGUUAUUUAUAAAUGAUUUUAAAUAUUUUAAAAAUCAUUUAAGGGUAAUAUAAAUGUUUUACAAGUAUUUUGAGUUAUUAUAAAUAACUUUAAUAUUUUGGCAAUGGUUUCAUUAAUAGUUUAAUAUUAAUUAAAUAUUAAUGAUAAUAGAAUUGUUUGAUGUUUAAAUCAUUUGAU
rnacentral:lncRNA from 1 species